rnacentral:rRNA from 1 species
GACACACGGCGGGUGCUAACGUCCGUCGUGAAGAGGGAAACAACCCAGACCGCCAGCUAAGGUCCCAAAGUCAUGGUUAAGUGGGAAACGAUGUGGGAAGGCCCAGACAGCCAGGAUGUUGGCUUAGAAGCAGCCAUCAUUUAAAGAAAGCGUAAUAGCUCACUGGUCGAGUCGGCCUGCGCGGAAGAUGUAACGGGGCUAAACCAUGCACCGAAGCUGCGGCAGCGACGCUGAUGCGUUGUUGGGUAGGGGAGCGUUCUGUAAGCCUGUGAAGGUGGCCUGUGAGGGUUGCUGGAGGUAUCAGAAGUGCGAAUGCUGACAUAAGUAACGAUAAAGCGGGUGAAAAGCCCGCUCGCCGGAAGACCAAGGGUUCCUGUCCAACGUUAAUCGGGGCAGGGUGAGUCGACCCCUAAGGCGAGGCCGAAAGGCGUAGUCGAUGGGAAACGGGUUAAUAUUCCCGUACUUGGUGUUACUGCGAAGGGGGGACGGAGAAGGCUAUGUUGGCCGGGCGACGGUUGUCCCGGUUUAAGCGUGUAGGUGUGUGUUCCAGGUAAAUCCGGUUCACUUUAACACUGAGGCGUGAUGACGAGGCACUACGGUGCUGAAGCAACAAAUGCCCUGCUUCCAGGAAAAGCCUCUAAGCAUCAGGUAACAUCAAAUCGUACCCCAAACCGACACAGGUGGUCAGGUAGAGAAUACCAAGGCGCUUGAGAGAACUCGGGUGAAGGAACUAGGCAAAAUGGUGCCGUAACUUCGGGAGAAGGCACGCUGACAC